GGGAUGGGAUGGAGAUUAAUCUGUGGACCACCAUUUAGGCCCUAGUGGCCUCUGGUGAUCCACAGGCUCAAUUUGAGAACCACUAAUUUCAUGACAAAACAGAUUGUAAGACCUAAAAUCAAGGGAGAGGAUGGACGUCUCGUGCUACGAAGAUGAGUGUUCCCUGGAAAAGAGGGACGGAUGAACCUGGAAGGCCAAAUCCUUGUAGCUGUCUUCUUGCCCCGGUCAGUGCCAGCCGUACUAUUCACAACACUGCUGCUACCGAGGCCUAGGAUCAGUUCUUAAGAGCAGCCCCGGUAACUGGAGGAAUGGGAGCCGUUUUGAUGAGAAAAAUGGGCUGGAGAGAAGGAGAAGGAUUAGGAAAAAACAAAGAAGGCAAUAAGGAACCCAUCCUAGUUGAUUUUAAGACAGACCGAAAAGGUCUUGUUGCAGUAGGAGAAAGAGCACAAAAGAGGUCUGGGAACUUCUCUGCUGCAAUGAAAGAUCUGUCAGGCAAACAUCCUGUGUCUGCUUUGAUGGAAAUCUGUAAUAAGAGAAGGUGGCAACCACCUGAAUUUCUAUUGGUCCAUGAUAGUGGCCCUGAUCAUCGCAAACAUUUUCUCUUUAGGGUAUUGAUAAAUGGAAGCGCUUACCAGCCCAGCUUUGCCAGCCCUAAUAAGAAGCAUGCUAAAGCCA
rnacentral:sRNA from 1 species